rnacentral:rRNA from 1 species
UACGGAGGGUGCAAGCGUUAAUCGGAAUUACUGGGCGUAAAGCGCACGUAGGUGGUUUGUUAAGUCAGCUGUGAAAUCCCCGGGCUCAACCUGGGCACUGCAGUUGAAACUGGCAAGCUAGAGUAGGGUAGAGGGGUGUGGAAUUCCAGGUGUAGCGGUGAAAUGCGUAGAUAUCUGGAGGAACAUCAGUGGCGAAGGCGACACCCUGGACUCAUACUGACACUGAGACGCGAAAGCGUGGGGAGCGAACAGG